GAUGAACGCUGGCGGCGUGCCUAAUACAUGCAAGUCGAGCGAACAGACGAGGAGCUUGCUCCUCUGACGUUAGCGGCGGACGGGUGAGUAACACGUGGAUAACCUACCUAUAAGACUGGGAUAACUUCGGGAAACCGGAGCUAAUACCGGAUAAUAUAUUGAACCGCAUGGUGCAAUAGUGAAAGACGGUUUUGCUGUCACUAAUAGAUGGAUCCGCGCCGCAUUAGCUAGUUGGUAAGGUAACGGCUUACCAAGGCAACGAUGCGUAGCCGACCUGAGAGGGUGAUCGGCCACACUGGAACUGAGACACGGUCCAGACUCCUACGGGAGGCAGCAGUAGGGAAUCUUGCGCAAUGGGCGAAAGCCUGACGCAGCAACGCCGCGUGAGUGAUGAAGGUCUUCGGGUCGUAAAACUCUUUUAUUAGGGAAGAACAAAUGUGUAAGUAACUAUGCCCGUCUUGACGGUACCUAAUCAGAAAGCCCCGGCUAACUACGUG
rnacentral:rRNA from 1 species